rnacentral:sRNA from 1 species
CCGAGAUGAAGGCCUUGCAGUGAUGGAUAAAGCCAAAGGUCUCUUCCUGCCUGAGGAUGAAAACCUGAGGGAAAGAGGGGACUGGAGCCAGUUCACGCUGUGGCAGCAAGGAAGAAGAAAUGAAAAUGCCUGCAAAGGAGCUCCUAAAACCUGUACCUUACUAGAAAAGUUCCCCGAGACAACAGGAUGCAGAAGAGGACAGAUCAAAUAUUCCAUCAUGCACCCCGGGACUCACGUGUGGCCGCACACAGGGCCCACAAACUGCAGGCUCCGAAUGCACCUGGGCUUGGUGAUUCCCAAGGAAGGCUGCAAGAUUCGAUGUGCCAACGAGACCAAGUAUGGGUCCUCUGUUAUCCGUCAUAUCCGUCACCUCAGAGGAUGAGGGUUUGUUACAACACAGUUGUGUUCCUUUGGAUUACUUAUCUUCUUUUGUAGCUGAAGUAGACUGGAGCAAAGUGAUAUUAAUCCAAACUCUUAAGUCUGUAUCCCUUCUUGGUGCUUUCUAUUAGCCUGGAGACAUUGCCCAGCUCUAGGGCUGCCCUCCAUUAUUUCUCGGCAGAGUACUUAUCCAGUUGAGAAGCUGCCUUGUUUCUCUCUCUGGGUAGACAGAUGUGCAUUCAGAGUCAGCCAACAUGCAUUGAGCCCUGCAGAUGUUAUGCAUUGUGCUUCCUGCUUUGCAACUUGACUUAUUCAUGAUUACAAGAAGUCCCCCUAACUGAAGAACUCACCCCAUGAUAUUUAUACAUUUUGAUAUAGAGGAGAUGGUAUGGUGCAAUGGAAGUUGGCUGCCUUUUUCAAAUCCCAGCUCUGCCACCUAACCUGUGUAACCUUGGCUAGUUACUUAAUCC